rnacentral:lncRNA from 1 species
CUGAUCCUUUCAUUUCAUAAACCAUUAUUGAUCUUGAGGUAAGUUGAAGCUUUCAUUUGCACAUCGUAAGAACCUAAUUAUGUGCGCUUUAAUGUGACUUUUGCUAUGUAUUCUCUAUAAUGUUUGAAUGAUUGAUGAGUCAUAGUGAUAUGAAAGAAUAUGUUUUGAAAAUGGGAGUAUGGUACUUGAUUGAUGGUCGAGUAGGCAAGGGACGCAGGAGGAACCGGCGGACCCAACACAUGGUGGCAAAUACCUGAGGUCGAAAGACCAGUAUGGAAAACCCACAAUUAAAGAAAUGAAAUACGGCUAAUACCUGAGGUCGAAAGGCCGGUAUGGAAACCCCCGUAUUAUCUAUUGGCCAAAUUUGAUGAACAGGUUCCGAAAAUCAAAGUCUAUUGCUAUCAGUCAAGUACCACACUUCAAGGGUACCCGAUAAAGAGAAGGAUUUCAAAGAAAAGGAUCACGAAUGAAGUUAUAGAUGUGAUAUUGUACUUAUUGAAUAGAUAAUGUGUUAUGUGAUUGAUAUAUUGCUAUUACAUCAGUUUCAACUUGCUGAGCCAUUAGCUCAUUAGGUUCUUAUGAUGCAGGUAAUGAUGUACAUGUUUAGAAGUUGACCUAGCCAAGAGCGGCCAGUCAGAUAUUUGUUCAUAUGCCAUGCUUCGAGCCAUUUUUGUAGCCGAGCAGAAACUCUGAUUUCAUUUUGUUAGCCGCUCUAUUAUGGUUUUUGUACAAUGUAAUUUUGUAAACAAUGAAUAUAUAUAUGUACGGAUUUUGAGAAAGUACAAAGUUUGAUUUCUUUUCAAAGCAUAUAACGUAUUUUUGUAUUAAAACCAUAAUGUUUAAGUAUAUAUAUAA